rnacentral:rRNA from 1 species
AAUCAACGCUGGCGGCGUGCCUAAUACAUGCAAGUCGAACGCGAAAGUCCCGCAAGGGAUGAGUAGAGUGGCAAACGGGUGAGUAACACGUGGGUGACCUGCCUUCGAGCGGGGGAUAAC